UACGUAGGGUGCGAGCGUUAAUCGGAAUUACUGGGCGUAAAGCGUGCGCAGGCGGCUCGUCGUGUCCGAUGUGAAAGCCCCGGGCUCAACCUGGGAAUGGCACUGGAAACUACCCUGCUGGAGGCUUGGAGGGGGGACUGGAAUUCUCGGUGUAGCAGUGAAAUGCGUAGAUAUCGAGAGGAACACCAGUGGCGAAGGCGAGUCCCUGGACAAGACCUGACACUGAGGCACGAAAGCCAGGGGAGCAAACAGG
rnacentral:rRNA from 1 species